rnacentral:rRNA from 1 species
UGGGGAAUAUUGGACAAUGGGGGCAACCCUGAUCCAGCCAUGCCGCGUGCGUGAAGAAGGCCUUAGGGUUGUAAAGCGCUUUCACUGGUGAAGAUGAUGACGGUAGCCAGAGAAGAAGCCCCGGCUAACUCCGUGCCAGCAGCCGCGGUAAUACGGAGGGGGCUAGCGUUGUUCGGAAUUACUGGGCGUAAAGGGCGUGUAGGCGGUUUGCCGAGUCAGGCGUGAAAGCCCCGGGCUUAACCUGGGAACUGCGUUUGAUACUGGCAGGCUAGAGGUUGGAAGAGGAGAGUGGAAUUCCCAGUGUAGAGGUGAAAUUCGUAGAUAUUGGGAAGAACACCAGUGGCGAAGGCGGCUCUCUGGUCCAUACCUGACGCUGAGGCGCGAAAGCGUGGGGAGCAAACAGGAUUAGAUACCCCCGUAGUCC